AUCGCGUGGGUAAUCUACCUUGAGGUGAGGGAUAGCCUCGGGAAACCGAGGGUAAUACCGCAUGAGUCCUCAAUGACAUAAGUCGAUGAGGGGAAAGGCGGGGCUCCUUCGGGACCUGUCGCCUCUAGAUGAGCCCGCGUCCGAUUAGCUAGUUGGUGGGGUAAUGGCCUACCAAGGCAACGAUCGGUAGCCGGCCUGAGAGGGUGAACGGCCACAUUGGGACUGAGACACGGCCCAG
rnacentral:rRNA from 1 species